GGAUGACUAGCUCAGUUGGUUAGAGCAUCUGCUUUACACGCAGAGGGUCGGGGGUUCGAGUCCCUCGUCAUCCACCA
rnacentral:tRNA from 1 species